rnacentral:rRNA from 1 species
AGGCUUAACACAUGCAAGUCGAGGGGGCAGCAUGGUCUUAGCUUGCUAAGGCCGAUGGCGACCGGCGCACGGGUGAGUAACGCGUAUCCAACCUGCCUUACACUCUUGGACAGCCUUCUGAAAGGGAGAUUAAUACAAGAUGUUAUCAUGAGUAAGCAUUUUCGCAUGAUUAAAGGUUUACCGGUGUAAGAUGGGGAUGCGUUCCAUUAGAUAGUAGGCGGGGUAACGGCCCACCUAGUCUUCGAUGGAUAGGGGUUCUGAGAGGAAGGUCCCCCACAUUGGAACUGAGACACGGUCCAAACUCCUACGGGAGGCAGCAGUGAGGAAUAUUGGUCAAUGGACGAGAGUCUGAACCAGCCAAGUAGCGUGAAGGAUGAAGGUUCUAUGGAUUGUAAACUUCUUUUAUACGGGAAUAAACGGAUCCACGUGUGGAUUUUUGCAUGUACCGUAUGAAUAAGGAUCGGCUAACUCCGUGCCAGCAGCCGCGGUAAUACGGAGGAUGCGAGCGUUAUCCGGAUUUAUUGGGUUUAAAGGGUGCGUAGGCGGCACGCCAAGUCAGCGGUGAAAUUUCCGGGCUCAACCCGGAGUGUGCCGUUGAAACUGGCGAGCUAGAGUGCACAAGAGGCAGGCGGAAUGCGUGGUGUAGCGGUGAAAUGCAUAGAUAUCACGCAGAACCCCGAUUGCGAAGGCAGC